rnacentral:rRNA from 1 species
UACGUAGGGGGCAAGCGUUAUCCGGAUUUACUGGGUGUAAAGGGAGCGUAGACGGCUGUGCAAGCCAGAUGUGAAAGCCCGGGGCUCAACCCCGGGACUGCAUUUGGAACUGUGUAGCUGGAGUGUCGGAGAGGCAGGCGGAAUUCCUAGUGUAGCGGUGAAAUGCGUAGAUAUUAGGAGGAACACCAGUGGCGAAGGCGGCCUGCUGGACGAUGACUGACGUUGAGGCUCGUAAGCGUGGGGAGCAAACAGG